rnacentral:rRNA from 1 species
AUGCGGCAGCUGCUGCUGUCUGGAGCUUUCAACUCUGGCCCCAGUGGGCCUCGGCGGUGCAGCGUGAACAGACGCUGCAGAGCCACCACGUCCAUAGAUGGGUAUAAUGGCAUCGUCAGCGACCUGGCCCUUGCAGACAGGGCACUCGCGGUGGUUGGAGUGGACAUGGAGCCACUGGUAGAGGCAGUCCCAGCAGAAGAGAUGGCCGCACUUGGUGACGACGGGGUCGUCCGCCAUGUCAAAGCAGACGUUGCACUCGAAAUUGGCAGCAUUGCGCCUGGCCUUGUCGUCCGGUUCGUUGGCAUUGGGUGUGGAGGUAGGAGACGGCUUGUGGUCUGUGAAGGUGGGGCGAGGCUGUGGUGGACGAGUUGGCCGCGGGCGCCGGGUGGAAUUGGAGGAGCCUCCCUGCCCUUGGUGUCGGUCCAGCUCCUCCGCCGGUGGGUGGCGCGGGUGCUGCGAGGAGUGGCCAUUGUCGUUGACAGGACGGUAGCGAUGUUGCUGCUGGUGGUGGUGGUGCUGUUGUUGGUGGUGGUGCUGAUGCUGUUGCUGCUGAUGCUGCUGCGGCGGCGGCUGAGGCUGUGGCUGCGGCUGAGGCUGCUGCGGUGGCCUUCUCUCUCUCCACCUGGUGUUCAUGUUGUUGGCGUUGCCGCCGCCGCGGUUCGCGAAGCCGCCGCCUCCUCCUCCUCCUCGCCCUCGGCUGCCGCCGGAAUCCGUCCAGCCGGCCAUGAGGAUUGGUCUGGAAUAGCCCUAAAAGAUUAA